UACGAAGGGGGCUAGCGUUGUUCGGAAUUACUGGGCGUAAAGGGCGCGUAGGCGGUGUGUCAAGUCAGGCGUGAAAGCCCCGGGCUCAACCUGGGAACCGCGCUUGAGACUGGCACGCUCGAGUUCGGGAGAGGAUGGUGGAAUUCCCAGUGUAGAGGUGAAAUUCGUAGAUAUUGGGAAGAACACCGAAGGCGAAGGCAGCCAUCUGGACAGACACUGACGCUGAGGCGCGAAAGCGUGGGGAGCAAACAGG
rnacentral:rRNA from 1 species